rnacentral:rRNA from 1 species
AUGGCGCAGCAAGGUGUUGCUUCCAUACUUGCCGUGGCCCUGGUCCUUGUUGCCUUUGCAUCAUUUCCCGCAGUGCACUCCAUCGGCGUCUGCAACGGCGUGAUCGGCAACAACCUGCCGGCGCCGAGCGACGUCGUGAAGCUCUACCAAACCAAGGGCAUCGAUGCCAUGCGGAUCUACGCGCCGGAGAGCAACGUCCUCAAGGCGCUCAGCGGCACGGGCAUCAGCCUCCUCAUGGACGUCGGCAACGGCGCGCUAACCAGCCUCGCAAACGACCCCUCCGCCGCGCCCGCCUGGGUCAAGGCCAACGUGCAGCCCUUCCCGGGCGUCUCCUUCCGCUACAUCGCCGUCGGCAACGAGGUCACGGACAGCGCCGGCCAGAAGACCAUCCUCCCGGCCAUAAAGAACAUACAAACGGCGCUCGCGGCCGCCGGCCUCAGCGGCAGCAUCAAGGUGUCGACUUCGCUGCGGUUCGACGUGGUCAAUAACACCUCCCCGCCCUCCAACGGCGUGUUCGCGGACACAUCAUUCAUGGGGCCGAUCCUGGACUUCCUGGCGAGCACCGGCGCACCGCUGCUGGUCAACGUGUACCCCUACUUCGCCUACAAGGGCGACCAGCAGAACAUCAAGCUCGACUUCGCCACCUUCGUGCCAGGCAGCACCACCGUGACCGACAACGGGCUGACGUACAGCAACCUGUUCGACGCCAUGGUCGACUCCAUCUACGCCGCACUGGAGAAAGCCGGCAAGCCCGACGUUAAGGUGGUCAUAUCCGAGAGCGGGUGGCCGUCGGCCGGUGGGGUCGGGGCGACGGCGCAGAACGCGCGGGCUUACAACCAGGGAUUGAUCAACCACGUCCGCGGGGGCACGCCGAAGAAGCCCAGCUUGCUGGAGACGUACAUUUUCGCCAUGUUCAACGAGAACCAGAAGACAGGGGAUCCGACGGAGAACAACUUUGGGCUGUUCAAUCCGGACAAGUCGCCGGCCUACUCCGUUACUUUCUAA